AGACGGAGGGUGCAAGCGUUACUCGGAAUUACUGGGCGUAAAGCGUACGUAGGCGGCUUGUCAAGUUGGAUGUGAAAUCCCACAGCUUAACUGUGGAACUGCGUCCAAAACUGGCAGGCUCGAGAACAGUAGGGGACAGUGGAACUCCAGGUGGAGCGGUGAAAUGCGUAGAGAUCUGGAGGAACACCGGUGGCGAAAGCGACUGUCUGGGCUGUUUCUGACGCUGAGGUACGAAAGCUAGGGGAGCGAACGGGAUUAGAAACCCUAGUAGUCC
rnacentral:rRNA from 1 species